UGUAUGUGAGUUAGCAGUUUUUAUGAGUUACUUAUCUGAAGUACUGUACAUAAAUAUAGUGCAGUUUUUCUACAAAAUAGAAGGUUGUCUUUUCAAACAUUUUUCUUUUUGUGAAUUUUAGAUAUAUAGCUUAACCAAGGUAAGGAACUUUCGUGGGCGGGGGAAUGUGACUACAUCUCAACUUUUUACCCUAUUUGCAUACUUCUUAUCACAUUUGCACAAAGUAUUAAAUGGGAUGUCGAUAAAAAAAGAUGGGUUUUUUUGCAAAGAAGAGAGAUAAUUAACAGAUGACUGAAUCUCUACGUCCUAAAUUGGGUCCAUAAUGUCUAGUAUUCAGUAUGGUUGUAACCUUUCAUGUUUAACUGUUUUUUUAGAAAUUAUUUUUAGUAGUAAUGAUAAAUGACAAAAGAAGUCAUUGUUGUGUAAAUUUUCAGGUGUUUUACUUCUCAAGAAAAUUGCAUAUUGUUUGUAAUAGUGUGUAGUUUUGUUUGUUUCUUAUUUUAGAUGUACCGGUAUUUAAGAGAUGUGUAAUAUAUAACUUACAUUCCAAGUAUUGGUUUAAUGAUAAAUAUUGACAGUGAAUUGUAGAAAAAUAUUGAUGUAAAUUUUGAAAUAGAAAAAUGUACACAUUUCCCUACAUGGUUUUAGAAUAAUUGUAAAUACUUGAAUGUUUUUGCAUGUAUAUAUAGUUAGAAAAUAUAAUAAAUUUCUUGCAUUACUUUACACAUUCUAAGAGUCAGUAAUAUACAAUGUAUAAUGGUGCCUUUCUUUAUUGUGAUAACAGUGUAAUAAAUAUAAGGUUGUAUAGAUAAAAAGUUUUACCUGAUAAUAUUCUUUCUGUUUACUGUAUAAACAUGAAUGUUUAUGGGUGCAAAAUCUAUUGCAGUUUUAGCUGAAAUCUGAAAGAAAUGUUACAGGGAUCUAGUUUGAUGUGCUUAAAUGUUAUUAAAGGUAUAAUGGUUUUCUGAUAAUUAUGAUAAUAAGGUGUCAGAGCGAAAGUGGUCUGACCUCAUUUAGAUAAAGGAUCAUUUAGAAUAGUUUAGCUCUCACCUUUCAUAACAAUGGCAAAUAUGUUCCUUGAUUGAGGGGCUAUCUUCUCAUCUAAUAUACCACUUUUUGCCAUUGACAAUUAUACCCGGCUUAAAUAUUUACGCCCCAUCUAAACCCAAGUUUGUGGGGGUGGGGGAUCUGUCUGUCAUAAAGUCAUAUAAUUUAUCCUUUGCAAACUAUUUGAGGUACAAACUACCUAUGUUUAAAGUGAUUCAAAUAAAACUUAAUACAAAAAUUAACUUGCCAUGUAGAUACAGGUAUUUUCUUUCAGGGUAGAGUAUUGCAGAGUUAUAGGCCUUUACUUCCACUGAAUAAGCAGUUUUAUAGGGGUAAAACAUCUAUCACAUUUAGUGAUAGCUCUUUUUUUACUGUUAUCAAACAUUUCAGUUAUGAGUUGAAAAGUAGUAAUAUUGACACAGACGUGUUCAGUAAUAAAGUAGUUCAAGUGGAGAUAAUUAAACAAUGGCUGAUAUUUUAAAUUUUUGAAUAUUUCAUUAAAAAAAUAACUGGUAAAAUCACGGAAUUGAAACUAUCAUUUACUACUAAGCAGUUAAGGUCAAGACUAUUUUAAGGCAAAAAAACAAACAAAUAUAUAUACAAGGUUUUUAGAUCAAUUUAUAAGUUUACAAACUGAGCCAUGUUAUAAGGAUCCAAGCAGAGCAGAAGUCCCUGCUCAUUUUUAUCUUGACUAUUUUAAGAGUAGGUAGCUAAGAGCUGUUGGACUCGCCCGUGUGUCAGCGUUGGCGUCCCAAUUUGGUUAAGUUUUUUAUGAAUGGAUUGAAACUUCCCAUACUUAUUAGCACUGAUGAACUGAUCUACAUUGAACACAUUCCAUAACUCUAUUUUGAUUUUUUUUACAAAAUUAUGGCUUUUUUUUUCGAUUUAAUAAUUUUUGGUAAAGUUUUUAUAUGUAAGCUGGUAUCACAGUACCCACUGAUGGGAAUGGACUGAAAGUUCACAGACUUGUUCACUGUCAUGAUCUGUCAUGCUGUGCUCAAAUUCCAUAACUCUACUUUGCAUUUUUACAGAAUUAUUUCCCUUUUUUGACUUCUAUAUUCAUUCAAUUCACAAGGCUGUCCCCAAGAGCUCUUGUUAGCUGACUAAAGUGGCAUGUAUUAUUUGUUAUAUUUAUACCAAAGAAAGAUUGUGUUUGAUCUUAUUUAUAAAUAUUAAGUUACAUUGUCCAAAAUCGAUAAGGAGGAUGCUGUGGGGAAAAAAAAAACUGUUAAAAGUCACGCUGCGGGUAGUAAUAAUGGCAACUGUCAUACUGUAGACCACUUGAGGUCACAUUUAGUAAAGAGGGAAAUAUUCAAACGAGGUGUAAUGUUAUAUAUUUAUUGAAUGGCUUGCAGGUCAAUAGUCAAAACUAUUGCCUGAGGUCCAAAGGCUUAAGUGCCAGUAGUUUCAAGUUUGCCAGUAAGCCAUUCAAUAAGUGUUUUAUUAUUGGACAUCAGAAAUAAAUGUCCGUAUUUUUUUUCAUUUAAGUUUUGACUUUAAGGCAGCAAACUUUACUGUUGAACUAUAUCCCAGUUAAUAGCACAAACUAUGGACCAUCAGUGUAUAUAAGGAGUCGUGCAAUAAUUUAAAAAAUGAGCUGUCCAUAAACUUUCCUGGUUAUAUAGUUUUCCUGCAAUAUUAGAAAAAUGUGCCUAUAGAUUUAUCACUGUAUAUAUAACACCUAUAUAAAAUUGUACAUGUAACUUCUUUUUAUUGAGGUAUGUAGUCAUUUACAUUUUUUCCUACAAGUAUAUUAUUUUUUUCUACAGUAUGUAUGUAGUUAUUUUCCUUUUUGUAUGUUACCUCUAAAAAUACAAUAUGAUAAUAAUAAUAAAGAAAUGGACCUUAUUAUGGUGCAAUAUCACCCUUUUAUUCAUAAUUUCAAGAAACUGACAUUGUUAUGGUACAAUAUCACAUUUUUAUUAAUCCCCUGCCACGAGUGGUGGGGGGUUAUAGGAAUGGUCUCCGUCUGUCCAUCCUUUCGUCCAUCUGUAACACUUUUGUGUCCGCUCCAUAUCGCCUAAACCCCUUGAAGGAUUUUCAUGAAACCUGGGUCAAAUGAUCACCUCAUCAAGACGAUGUGCAGAACUCAUGAGUCAGCCAUGUAGGCUCAAGGUCAAGGUCACAACUCAAGGUCAAAGGUUUUAGCCUUCCAUUUCAUGUCCACUCUGUAUCUCCUAAACCCCUUGAAGGAAUUUUAUAAAACUUGGGUCAAAUGAUCACCUCAUCAAGAGGAUGUGCAGAACUCAUGAGUCGGACAUGCCAGCUCAAGAUCAAGGUCACAACUUAGGGUUAAAGGUUUGAGCCUUCCAUUUUGUGUCCACUCUGUAUCUCCUAAACGCCUUGAAGGAUUUUCAUGAAACUUUGGUCAAAUGAUCACCUCAUCAAGACGAUGUGCAGAACUCAUGAGUCAGCCAUAUUGGUUCAAGAUCAAGGUCACAACUCAGGGUCAAAGGUUUGAACCUUCCAUUUUGUGUCCGCUCUGUAUCUCCUAAUCCCCUUGAAAGAUUCAUAUGAAACCUGGGUCAAAUGAUCACCUCAUCAAGACAAUGUGCAGAACUCAUGAGUCAGCCAUGCCGGCUCAAGGUUAAGGUCACAAAGGUUUGAGCCUUCCAUUUUGUGUCCACUCUGUAUCUCCUAAACCCCUUGAAGGUUUUUCAUUAAACUUUGGUCAAAUGAUCACCACAUCAAGAACUCGUGAUUCAGCUAUGUCAACUCAAGGUCAAGGUCACAACUCAGAAUUCAUGAGUCAGUCAUGUCAGUUCGAGGUCAAGGUCACAGCUCAAGGUCAAAGGUUUACCCUUUCACUAUCCAUAACAGUGGCAGGAGAUUUAGCUUUCUUUCAGACUGCCUUGUUUAUUUUAGCCUGUGCCUUUCUUUAACAGCAUGUUUUAUGACAGGUCAACAAUGACCAGUCAAUUCAGGAUUUUUUUUCACAUUCUUUGUUCCAAUAAAGCCUCUCUCUUCAUGUGACAUGUAAUUUUACUUUUUCUAUGUUUGGCUUGAUGCAACACAGGUAAACAUUGGUUCAAAUCAUUGAAAAGACGAAUAGCCAAUCUGUAAAUUUUACAUUUUCAUGUGUGGAUAUGCAGUUCAUACAAAAUAUUGAAUCUAGUGUACACUUGGUGAAAGAAUUCUUGAUUUUACUCUGGAAUGAUGAAAGUUUUGUUGCAUUAGGCAAAACGCUGGAAAAAUACAAAACUAAGAUAUAAUUUAUAUUGGGUGGUUUGUAUUUAUUUGAAUUGAGUCCCAUUUUCUAUCUUUAUAGUUAUGUUUUACACUGGUUAUUGACUGUCUAUGAUAACCAAAGUUUUAAUUAAAUGUAUAUUGUGCAUAUUACCUUGCUUCACUGCCUGCAGACUAGCUUGUAAAUUUCUGUGUAACCAGUUUUCUAUGGAUUAUAUAGCAAUAUUCUGAUUUACUUGAAAAUAGAUGUACAAGGAAUUCCAAAUUCUAUUUUUCAGCAACAGCUGAAUACUAGCAUAUAUUUUAUUAAAUUUUAUGAAACUUUUUUUCUCUUUUUACAGAUUUUAAGAACUUUUUUAGAUUAUAAAUAUACAUGACACAAAUAUAUAUUGGUGCAAAGCUAUAUUGUGAGAAAGUUCGGUUUAACCAGAUUUUAUUUGAUGUAUACAUUCCAUGAGACAAUAAAAUGAAUGCAGGCCCACCUGCUUAGCUUAAUAUGGAGCGCACAGAUCUGUGGGUUGUGGGGUAUCUUGUUUGAACCCUGGGCGAGGUGUUUGUUCUCUGUGACGAUUUGUUAGAAGACAUUUUGUCUGAAAUCAUUUCAUCCUUCACCGCUGAUUCAUGUGAAGAAGCUGGCAUUUACUUGCAGAGAACAGGCUAGUACAAAAUCCAGGAACACUGAUAAGGUUAAUAUUGUUACAUUAACUGGAAAAUACUGUUGAAAAAUGGCACUCUACAAAAAACAAAACAUUUCUUUUAGAAACAGACGAAUUCCUUAUGUAGGAAAACAGUAAUAUACUGUAUCAGUGGUUUAUUUUGUGGCAUAGAAAUGUCUGUGAUUACUGGUAAAUAUUUGCCAAAUUAAAGACACACCUAAGUUAAGGAAAGGGUUUAGCAAGUACUUCGAAAUUCGUAGAUAGUAAAAGCAAGCUAUCAGUUAGCAAUAAGAAUACUAUUGUUUUCACUUUGAACCUGCCUCAACAGAUCAUUUAUUGACAGUUGUCUGCAAACAUUUUAUAUAUCACAUGUAUAAACUAUUCACAAACAUCUUCGCAUGCAAAAGGUCAACUUGCGGUUUUUCACAAAAUUUCUGUGUUGUAAAAUUUUUCAAACAUACGUAACUGAUGGUAUAGGAGUAUGUACAUGGAGCGUAUAUACACAGAAUAUUGAUUUUGUUACAGGGAGAUUGAAGUUUGUUUGUUUUUUUGUGUGAAAUGAUUUUUAUUUAGUAGGUUGUAGAAGUGAAGGAAAUUACAAAUAUGGAACGGUUGAAUUAUGUAACAUGUUUUUGUGAAUCCUUGAAAUGCUAGAGUGAAAUAUAUAUGGUAAUUUCUUCUUGUUUUAAAUAUUAGAUCAAAAUAUCUUUCACUCCUGAACACAAGAAACUUCAUUUUCACCGGUGGCUACCCCACUCAUAAGAAAAAGUGCCACUGGUGUUCACUCGGUGAAAGAUGUUUAAAUCUUAAACUGACACACACAAAAAAUCCGCUAUAUAUUUUAGCAAUGGUGCAAACAUUAUUAUUAUUAUAUUCAAAAGUUUUUUACUAUACGUGAAAACCCCCUUUUGAUAAUUAAUAAACUUAAUUUGAAAAAUAUGGGUUUAUAGACACUUUUUUUCACCACCUAUAUGAUUUAGACGCUAGUUGCCAUAACUCUCAUAUUGAAAUUCAUAUAUAUAAAUUUGUUAAAAUUUUCAUGUCUUUCUUCACUUGAUACGUUAUUUUAUUUUAUUCUCUAUAUUGUAAAUUUUAUAGAAUAAAUCUUUAAAAAGUAAAA